GGUAGUCCACGCCGUAAACGAUGUCGACUCGGAGGUUGUGCCCUUGAGGCGUGGCUUCCGGAGCUAACGCGUUAAGUCGACCGCCUGGGGAGUACGGCCGCAAGGUUAAAACUCAAAUGAACUGACGGGGGCCCGCACAAGCGGUGGAGCAUGUGGUUUAAUUCGAUGCAACGCGAAGAACCUUACCUACUCUCGACAUCCAGAGAACUUAGCAGAGAUGCUUUGGUGCCUUCGGGAACUCUGAGACGGGUGCUGCAUGGCUGUCGUCAGCUCGUGUUGUGAAAUGUUGGGUUAAGUCCCGCAACGAGCGCAACCCUUAUCCCUUGUUGCCAGCGGUUAGGCCGGGAACUCAAAGGAGACUGCCAGUGAUAAACUGGAGGAAGGUGGGGAUGACGUCAAGUCAUCAUGGCCCUUACGAGUAGGGCUACACACGUGCUACAAUGGCGCAUACAAAGAGAAGCGACCUCGCGAGAGCAAGCGGACCUCAUAAAGUGCGUCGUAGUCCGGAUUGGAGUCUGCAACUCGACUCCAUGAAGUCGGAAUCGCUAGUAAUCGUAGAUCAGAAUGCUACGGUGGAUACGUUCCCGGGCCUUGUACACACCGCCCGUCACACCAUGGGAGUGGGUUGCAAAAGAAGUAGGUAGCUUAACCUUCGGGAGGGCGCUUACCACUUUGUGAUUCAUGACUGGGGUGAAGUCGUAACAAGGUAACCGUAGGGGAACCUGC
rnacentral:rRNA from 1 species